rnacentral:rRNA from 1 species
GUGCCUACGGGAGGCAGCAGUGAGGAAUAUUGGUCAAUGGGCUUACGCCUGAACCAGCCAAGUCGCGUGAGGGAAGACUGCCCUAUGGGUUGUAAACCUCUUUUGUCAGGGAGCGACGCCGGCUACGUGUAGCCGGACUGAGAGUACCUGAAGAAAAAGCAUCGGCUAACUCCGUGCCAGCAGCCGCGGUAAUACGGAGGAUGCGAGCGUUAUCCGGAUUUAUUGGGUUUAAAGGGUGUGUAGGCGGAAUGCCAAGUCAGCGGUAAAAUCGCGGGUCUCAACCUCGCUCCUCCGUUGCAACUGGG